CAUUUAUAGGUCACCAAUCGGA
rnacentral:snRNA from 1 species